GCGUUGCUCGGAAUUACUGGGCGUAAAGGGCGCGUAGGCGGCCAGCACAAGUCAGUUGUGAAAUCUCCGGGCUUAACUCGGAAAGGUCAACUGAUACUGUGCGACUAGAGUGCAGAAGGGGCAACUGGAAUUCUCGGUGUAGCGGUGAAAUGCGUAGAUAUCGAGAGGAACACCUGCGGCGAAGGCGGGUUGCUGGGCUGACACUGACGCUGAGGCGCGAAAGCCAGGGGAGCGAACGGG
rnacentral:rRNA from 1 species